rnacentral:RNase_P_RNA from 1 species
GAAGCAAGCCAGACCGCCGCUGGUGCAGGUGCCGAAAGGCCGCACUGGAGGAAGGUCCGGACUGCACAGGGCAGCGUAGCAGGUAACACCUGUCCGCCGUGAGGCGAGGAUCAGAGCAACAGAGACGAGUCGGGCCGCGGCGCAAGUGGCGGUCCGGGUGAAACGGGCAAUCUCUACGCGCAGCAACACCAAAUAGGCACACGUCGAUCCGGCCCGGGGAGUGUGCGGGUAGGUGGCAUCGAGCCGCUUCCGUGAGGGGCGGCCCAGAGGAAUGGCGGUCACGGCGGGGCAACCCGCCGCACAGAAUCCGGCCUAUCGGCUUGCUUCACAC